GAUGAUCAUAAACUUAAUGACGAUUUGCAUAAUCCUGAACUAUGUCUCGUAGUCGGUUGACUUUGCUGCGUUUUUUUGAAAGAUUGGCAGUGGUACUUUAUUUUAAAAAAAUAAUAAGAAAUAUUGUGAUCCCUGAAUCAGUGGUCAAACAAUCGGAUUGAUUGAUAAGCACGUGAGUUCAAUAUAUUUUAACAGAAUACUUCGAAGAAUUCACCUUGGUGAGCUUAAUAACUAAGGAUAAAAUCAAGUGAUUGUGAAAUAAUUUUGGCUUGAAAAUUUGUGCAGUCGUAGAUUAUCUCUUUUAUUCGUGGUGGCUACGUUGGCUUAGCUAAUUUUUACUUUCUCGCUGCCCUUGCUUAAAUUAUUCAGGACUAGUUAAAUGGAACUGGUCGUCUUAUAAAUGGGUGUUCCUGGUGUAAAAAUGGUAGCUUCAAUUAUUGAUGUCAGUGGCCUUAAUUUUUUAUUAUUCAAAUAAAAAUGCCUAAUUUUAUGGCCUCUCAGGUAUUUUCGUUAGAAGUCCAAAAAUAUUUAAAAAUUUAUGAAAAUUUGACACAAUACAGUUCAUUCAGCCUCUUUUCACUUUGAACUUAACUGAAAAUAUAAUGAACAAGCUUUGUUACCAAUUCUACAGCAACCUCACGAAAUUUUUCUGGUCUAGACAAUCAUGAACAUCGAUGUAUGUUCUUUUUUUCAAGGAGCUGAUUUCGUGCGAUGAAUCUCAGGCAUGGGAUCAAAGCGACUUUCCUACUGGCCUUAAUGGCCGCAGACUUGCAAGGUGCUAUCGGAUUCCUCAAUGUGACCAUGACUUGGCAGCCAUCUAAUACACUGGUAAAAGACUUCGCUGAUUUACUGAGCGGAUUUGCUGGGUCGCUCAGAGGUUCGAGGUCAGCAUCUCCUGAAGUGAAAACGUGUACAGCUGACGUCUGCAUUCGCAAAGGUAAAUUCUGCCAUUUUGCUUCUUUUAGGUUGGUUAUCAUUUUAUUCCUCAUUCGUAAGAGCCGAUCGUAUCAAAUUGGACUCCGGCACCGUGUAAAAACGAAGCAUCUAGAUGAGAGAAAUUUCACCAAUUUUUUUAAAUGCUCUUAUUGACGAUUUUUAAAUAUUCAGCUUUCAUUUCAUCUGCUGAAAUUCUAUUUCA
rnacentral:lncRNA from 1 species